CCUUCGGGAGGCAGCAGUGGGGAAUAUUGCACAAUGGGGGGAACCCUGAUGCAGCGACGCCGCGUGGGUGAGGAAGUACUUCGGUAUGUAAAGCCCUAUCAGUAGGGAAGAAAAUGACGGUACCUGACUAAGAAGCCCCGGCUAACUACGUGCCAGCAGCCGCGGUAAUACGGAGGGGGCAAGCGUAAUCCGGAUUUACUGGGUGUAACGGGAGCGUAGACGGCGUGCCAAGUGUGGUGUGAAAGGCCGGGGCUCAACCCCGGGACUGCAUGUGCAACUGGCAUGCUGGAGUGCCGGAGGGGCAAGCGGAAUUCGUGGUGUAGCGGUGAAAUGCGUAGAUAUUAGGAGGAACACCGGUGGCGAAGGCGGCUUGCUGGACGGUAACUGACGUUGAGGCUCGAAAGCGUGGGGAGCGAACAGGAUUAGAUACCCGAGUAGUC
rnacentral:rRNA from 1 species